CAGUAGCCGCGGUAACACGGAGGGUGCAAGCGUUGUCCGGAUUUAUUGGGUUUAAAGGGUGCGUAGGCGGCCUAAUAAGUCAGUGGUGAAAGCCUCCAGCUUAACUGGAGAACUGCCAUUGAUACUGUUAGGCUUGAGUAUACUUGAGGUAGGCGGAAUUGACAGUGUAGCGGUGAAAUGCAUAGAUAUUGUCAAGAACACCAAUUGCGAAGGCAGCUUACUAAAUUAUAACUGACGCUGAGGCACGAAAGUGUGGGUAUCAAACAGGAUUAGAUACCCGAGUAGUCCCUGUCUCUUAUAC
rnacentral:rRNA from 1 species